GUCUAUAGCCAUGCUACCCAGAACAAGCCCAAUCCCAUCUGAUCUCGGAAGCUAAGCAGAGUCGGGCCUGGUUAGUACUUGGAUGGGGACCACCUAGGAAGACCAGGUUCUGUAGGCU
rnacentral:rRNA from 1 species